CACCCUUUAAGAGGUUUAGCACCAAAAUCCAGUAGGCUGUUAUCAGCUAAUCACAAGCCAAAUCCUCCGAAAGCUAACUUGUUUUAGCCUCCUGCUGCUGCCAACACCGACAUUUGGGCUCGUCUGCUGCUAGUUAGUUAGCCACCACGCUAGCUAGCAAAACGAAAACCUGCUAGCCAGGAGGCUAACUAUUAAAUAAGGUGUGCGAGUGAGUGGUUCAUCGAUCGAUACAUCUAGUUUUGGAUCAUUUCAGUCAAGCAGAUGAACACCCUUAAAAUAAAAUAAUAAAAAGUCCCCUGUUGCCAGCAGCAAACGGAGCAGUUAGCUGGCGGACUGAAACAGAAACACUGGCUCGGUUUCAGAGAUUUACUUAAUAACGUGAAGCUAACGGCUGCGUGCAAACUGCUUAACUGGGGAAGUCUUGCAGCGUUUCCGGGGGAGAGAAAUAAUAAGGAAACACACAAGUCUUAUGGAGCCAAGUGAGUUCAAAACUAAAGGCGGAAUCACACAAGAUAAUCCAGCUGCUUGUUGAGGCACCCCGAGCGUUGAAGACGGAAGGGGAGACCCAGCGCAGAGCUGCUGGCUGCGGGCUGCUGGAGGAGGAGGAGGAGGAGGAGGGGAGAUGGAGCUCCGCCGUACUUCGCUUGUUAAACGCUAACUUUUCCUCUUCGCCGUAAACUGUGGCUAACAGAUCGGGCAACUUGGCCAACGACACCUCUGACCACGCUAGGUAAUGUGAAACACCUCAUACGGCGCUGUGCUGGUAGGCCUCCCUCGCAAACCGACCGCACAAGUGGUCGAUAUCUGAAAUAAAAACCGAGCGGGUCGUCGCUACUCCGCCUGCCCACAAGCGACUCCUGCCUGCCGGGCUACCCGAGCUGCACACUCGGCUAGUUGAGAGCUGAAGCUAAAGUGUCCGUCCGCUGCCUCCCGGGCGUGGGCCAGCCGAUCCGCUCCUCUCGAUCAAGCUGUUCGUUUCCCAGCUCCAAUAUGGCACAUGCUUACUUGAAGUCCCGCUUCGGUAUAUUUUUCUGUAAUUUUUUUUGUGAGAACAGUUGCACUGCUUGCUUUGUGGUCCAACUUCCUCCCACUGCGGCGGGGGAGAGGCUUGUAAAACCCGGAGCGGGUCCACUGGUGGCUGGAUCCGGACCACAUGGCCGAUAGUGGUGAUUUAUAGGCUACUGCACCGACCAGCCUGUAGACAGGAAAUAACCCAGAGUUGGGGUUAAUUGGGAAAGCAAGAACAACACAUUUAGGCCUUUAUGAAUCGGGAUGCUUAAGUGAGCUGGAUGUGUUGGUUUGGUGGAAACACAGUGCCGUUUCCUGGACAGCAGAGACUCACCUUCCAGUGGCCGGAGAACUUGGUGCAGUGGUGAGUCAUCUUGUCUGGAAGUGAGGGGAGGGGAAGCAUAAGAUGGUUAAAAUGGAUCGUCAGUACAGAGAUGACAGUGACAACAGGACAGCUUCUCUGAGAGGUUAGCUAAACAUGCAAGAAAGAAGAAGAAAUUCACGAAUCAACAGGCAGUAAAAACAUGCAACAGCCAACAACUUUACUUAUUGUGCAACAGCAACUAAAUGUGUGUAUUUCAGAGGAGCAACAAAAAAUCCUGGAUACUGGAAUCAGCCUGAAUCAAUAAUUCCCAGACUGAAAGCACAAGAGUCUAUUUAUAGUUCCUGCACAAAAAUGAAGAGGGUCAAAGAAGCCAGAGCUUCAUCUAGACUUCUUUCUCCCACCCGAUCCACCGCUUUAUCUUAUUUUCUGCCCAUUUCCGCUCUGCUGCUACUCAGAUCACCACUGUUGAUCUCACCCACUGGGUGCAGCGGCGGCCUGUGGGCCCUGGAGGCUCCAGUGUUUGGGGAUUUUUUUUUUUUUUGUGAGUGUGGAUACGGGGGGCCGCUGUACCCUGGCUGUGCUGCCCUGGCUGUGCUGGCUGGGCGAGGGACAGGGACUCACCUUGCUUUGAUGCCCUUGGGGAUGUCCUGCCGUGAGAGUGAGAGGAGCCACGCGCCCCCACCCUUUUAAAGCCUCCCCUGGCAAGGGGCCAUGCUGAAAGCCCCGGGUCAGCAGCUAGGGAGGGGCUUACCUUUGUACCCCCCGACAAAAGCGUGGUUAAUCUGUGGAGAGGCAGAAGUGCAGACACCACAUUAUCACCCCGGGCAGGGGACACGGAGGCACAGGAAUAUCAGAGAGCCACGAGACGAGAUCGAGUGAGAGUCGCUAAGAAAAAACUGAGGGCCCAAGACGGCCCCGACAGAGAGAAACUGUCCAUUUCAACUAAGGCUGCAACGAUUUAUUAUUUUUACUACAGAUUAAUCUGCAGAUCAUCCUCUUGAUUAAUCGGUUAAAUGUUUUUGUCCAUAAAAUGUCAUGAAAUAGUGUAAAAAGCCUGAAGUGAUGUAUUCAGAUGACUUGUUUAAUGUGACCAACAAUCCAAAGAUAAUAAAAGAAAACCAUCCAG